rnacentral:rRNA from 1 species
GACGAACGCUGGCGGCGUGCUUAACACAUGCAAGUCGAACGCUGAAGCUUGGUGCUUGCACUGGGUGGAUGAGUGGCGAACGGGUGAGUAAUACGUGAGUAACCUGCCCUUGACUCUGGGAUAAGCCUGGGAAACUGGGUCUAAUACUGGAUAUGACAUGCCACUGCAUGGUGGUGUGUGGAAAGGGUUUUACUGGUUUUGGAUGGGCUCACGGCCUAUCAGCUUGUUGGUGGGGUAAUGGCCUACCAAGGCGACGACGGGUAGCCGGCCUGAGAGGGUGACCGGCCACACUGGGACUGAGACACGGCCCAGACUCCUACGGGAGGCAGCAGUGGGGAAGAUUGCACAAUGGGCGGAAGCCUGAUGCAGCGACGCCGCGUGAGGGAUGACGGCCUUCGGGUUGUAAACCUCUUUCAGCACGGAAGAAGCGAGAGUGACGGUACGUGCAGAAGAAGCGCCGGCUAACUACGU